GCGGAUCAACCAAUGAGAAGACGAUCGACGUCAAAUAGAUGUUUGCAGCUUGCAGAAUGGAAAGAAAUUUGCAGCUAAAAUUAUUUUCACUUCUAUGCGAAAAUCUAACCGAAAAACUUACCUAUUGAUUUCAAGAUACAGUAUGCCAUUCCAGGUUUGAUGAAAUAUAGAGUGAUGCUUUGAACAUGCAUGAACAUGUUGAAAUUGGAGUUUUAUUUUUAUAGACAGCAAUGAUGAUCACCUGCACCGAGACAGCAGAAGAAAGUUACUUAUUUAUAACUCAUCAUGACCAUGAUGACCAUUUAAUACUGAAAAUCUGAUGAAAAUUUGUUUGGAAAGCCACCAAAUAUUUCAAUGAGAAGUAGAAAAAAGACAGCAAUUCUAUAUCAUGUAUAUCAUGUACUAAGCAGAAGCAUUUGCUGUUUCAAGACCCAAUUGAAUUGGAGUUUAGUGUUUUGAUGCAGUGAAACAGAGGAAUAUUUAAGUGAACAGUUUAGCUUCUUUUUCAUCCUCGUGAAAAAUGUGUUGCAACAGUUUCAUGGAUUUAAUUUGUGGUUUCUUUCGUGAAAUAUUUGAAAAAUCUGCAAUGUCUAACCAAGUAGUUUAUAAGAGAUCUAAAGAUAAAUAUAUGACAUGUAUGAUAUUCAGAUGAAUUUGAAAGAAGGAAAUAUAUUGAUUUAUAAGACUUCAA